rnacentral:rRNA from 1 species
AGCAGUCGCCGCGGGAAUACGAAGGGGGCUAGCGUUGCUCGGAAUUACUGGGCGUAAAGGGCGCGUAGGCGGACAGUUAGGUUGGGGGUGAAAGCCCGGGGCUCAACCUCGGAAUUGCCUUCAAUACUGGCUGUCUUGAGUAUGAGAGAGGUGUGUGGAACUCCGAGUGUAGAGGUGAAAUUCGUAGAUAUUCGGAAGAACACCAGUGGCGAAGGCGGCUUACUGGCUCAUUCUAGACGCUGAGGUGCGAAAGCGUGGGGAGCAAACAGGAUUAGAUACCCGCGUAGUCCCUGUCUCUUAUAC